GUCCCUGUAGCGCAAUGGAUAGCGCGUUGGACUUCGAAUGCAAAGGUUGUGAGCUUUAAUCCCACUUGGGAUG